GCGGGCGUGGCGGAAUGGCAGACGCGCCAGACUUAGGAUCUGGUGCCCUUGUGGCGUGGGAGUUCAAGUCUCUUCGCCCGCACCA
rnacentral:tRNA from 1 species